CACGUACUGUGCGAACGUUAUUCGGAAUCACUGGGCUUAAAGGGUGCGUAGGCGGCAAUUCAAGUCAGGUGUGAAAUGCCUGAGCUCAACUGAGGCAUUGCGCUUGAAACUGAACUGCUUGAGUAUCCCAGGGGUGUGCGGAACUGCCAGUGGAGCGGUGAAAUGUGUUGAUAUUGGCAGGAACACCGGAGGCGAAAGCGGCACACUGGGGGAUAACUGACGCUGAGGCACGAAAGCCAGGGGAGCGAAC
rnacentral:rRNA from 1 species